rnacentral:rRNA from 1 species
AGUGAACGCUGGCGGUAGGCCUAACACAUGCAAGUCGAACUGCAGCACAGGAGAGCUUGCUCUCUGGGUGGCGAGUGGCGGACGGGUGAGGAAUACAUCGGAAUCUACUCUGUCGUGGGGGAUAACGUAGGGAAACUUACGCUAAUACCGCAUACGACCUACGGGUGAAAGCAGGGGACCUUCGGGCCUUGCGCGAUUGAAUGAGCCGAUGUCGGAUUAGCUCGUUGGCGGGGUAAAGGCGCACCAAGGCGACGAUCCGUAGCUGUUCUGAGAGGAUGAUCGGCCACACUGGAACUGAGACACGGUCCCAAAUCCGACGGGGGGAAUCAAUGGGGAAUAUUGGACACUGGCCGCAAGCCUGAUCCAGCCAUACAGCGUGGGUGAGAAGGGCCGUCGAGUUGUAAAGCCCUUUUGUUGGGAAAGAAAUCCAGCUGGCUAAUACCCGGUUGGGAUGACGGUACCCAAAGAAUAAGCACCGGCUAACUGCGUGCCAGCCGCCGCCGUAA